rnacentral:rRNA from 1 species
CAUGCAAGUCGAACGGAAAGGCCCCUUCGGGGGUACUCGAGUGGCGAACGGGUGAGUAACACGUGGGUAAUCUGCCCUGCACUUCGGGAUAAGCCUGGGAAACUGGGUCUAAUACCGGAUAGGACCAUUUAGCGCAUGCUUUAUGGUGGAAAGCUUUUGCGGUGUGGGAUGGGCCCGCGGCCUAUCAGCUUGUUGGUGGGGUGACGGCCUACCAAGGCGACGACGGGUAGCCGGCCUGAGAGGGUGUCCGGCCACACUGGGACUGAGAUACGGCCCAGACUCCUACGGGAGGCAGCAGUGGGGAAUAUUGCACAAUGGGCGCAAGCCUGAUGCAGCGACGCCGCGUGGGGGAUGACGGCCUUCGGGUUGUAAACCUCUUUCAGCAGGGACGAAGCGCAAGUGACGGUACCUGCAGAAGAAGCACCGGCCAACUACGUGCCAGCAGCCGCGGUAAUACGUAGGGUGCGAGCGUUGUCCGGAAUUACUGGGCGUAAAGAGCUCGUAGGUGGUUUGUCGCGUUGUUCGUGAAAACUCACA